UGUUGACCUACCUGCUCGGCUGCUCCUAUACCCUUUCUCUCUCAUAUUCUCUCAUACAAUCUCCUCUAAGUCUCUAACCAUCCUACCCCUGUUUUUCCAUUUUAAUUAUCUGAAAAAUCAAGCUCGAUCUGCGAAUAACAUGGCACGAACCGCUGCGAAGAAGGAGACGUCUCGAAGCAAAAAUUCCAACAUUUCCAUGUCUCAAAUCUGGUUUAUCAAUCGAAGGUUGAGAGGCAAGCUUCAUCAAAGACGAAGUAUAAUUAAAGUUUAAUCUUAGUUGUUGGGAUGAAUUCGUGGAGGGAUCCGUGAAAUCAUUUCGUGCCGAUCUUGGAUCUACUCGUUAUUCGAUGAUAUCGGCAGUGUGAUGGAAAAUUAGUUCUCAAACUCACCGAUUACAUGGAGUAUGUUGAACCUCAAAACCAUGUGAAGGUCUCGCAAGCAGAGCUCUUGAUCAUUGACGAUGCAGCUGCUAUACCGUUGCCUGUUGUCAAGUCAUUGCUGGGUCCCUACCUUGUUUUCUUAUCCUCC